rnacentral:tRNA from 1 species
GGCCAUGGGGUGUUAUCAUGCCGGAUUGCAAAUCCGGAGAUGCGAAUUUACUUCCGCCGUGGCUU